rnacentral:lncRNA from 1 species
UACAAGACAACUCUGAGGUUUCUGGGACACAGCUAGGAAGUCAUCCACAGUGACAAACUACAGUUGCUACUACAGCACCACCAUGACAGAACACUUUAAGGAUAAUUUCCAGUAACUCCUUCAGAAGCUAUUGUGCAAAGAAUGCAAAAGCUUGCACUGACCUAUUAUAAUUUAAGUACUCUAUACUCCAUGAUAAAGAGGUUUUAGUGAAUCUGAAAGCACAGUCCAGGAGACUUUUGUAAGACAGAGCAGAUGUCAGCCUUCUUUCAAUUUCCUAUAGCUCAGCAGCUGUAGAAGUGCCAUUUGUGUAGCCACCUUUAGACUUCAUGUGGUCUUGAAUUGAUACAGCUGAUGAAAAGUCACUACUCAUCUCUCUUAUCCCCACAUGUGCAUUGUGAACAAAGUUCAUUGGUUC